UCCCAGGACUCAAGGAAUAGAGCGCCACACCUUUCAGAACCACCUGUUUUCCCCAGCACAUCCCACCAGUGAGCAAGAAGCCCCACAAUGAUUGUUGUUUUAUGGUUGCUUCUCAUUGCAGGAACCAUGUGGAAAGGAUAUAAGUAUCCCCCAGGAGGGGUAAGUGUGCUUUCAACUUUGUUCUCUGUUCCUCCUUUGAAAUUUAUUCCCCCAGAUCCAUGAGCUGAGCAUCAAAAUCCAACUUUAGAAACAAAUCGUCUUUUCUUGAUUAAGAAAGUGGUGGUAGCUUACCUGCCUCUAUUGUUGCUCGCUGAGAGUUCCCUCUUUCACGUCUUUCUUUUAUACAUAUUUUCCUAAGAGUCUUUACUCUUACAUUUUUCAGUUUUAUAUAACCUGGAGGUAGAGAGGUAAAGACUCAGGCAAUGCUGUCUGACAUGGGUGACCUAGUCUUGUGCUCAGGGGCCAUUUUCAGUGCUGGGGUCUUCAGUCCCAUUUCUUAAAUCAGCCCAGACCAGCAACCCACCCUUAACUCUCCCUCAUCAAGUAAAGGGUGGUCUAUAAAAUGGUUCUGGUGCUAGAAAUCUUCUCUCUUCCUGUUAGACCUUGGAUAUGUGUCCUUUCUCUGCCUCUUGUCCGCUCCCACAUGGCUAAGCCCCUCUGGCAGUGGAGGUCAGAGACAUUAAGAGACAGAAUUGGACAGAACCACUUCUGCCUGUCUUUGGCAAGGAAGGCAAUUACCUCAGCCGCACACUCUGGCAGACACUAGAGAAGGCCCACCUGACAUACUUUUGUCCCCCCAGACCCCGGUGGAAGUAAGCAAAGAUGAUCCUGGUGAAGUCAUGCAGCUCUGAAGCUCACCUGGCCUGCUGUAGAGUUCCUGUUGUUGGUUUCGCAUAAAGUAAUUGCACAUUAUUUUGUCACA
rnacentral:lncRNA from 1 species